rnacentral:siRNA from 1 species
CUCUUAUGUUACUUGUAGCUGC